ensembl:lncRNA
UCCUUAGUUAUUGUUUGAAACUUAACCUUUUUGAAUGUGUGAUUAUAGGAAACUUUUCAGGUCACCUCAGACACAGAAGCAACUCUGGUAGUUAGUAUUACACAAGAUCUGACAGAAGCUUUGAAGACCUUUUGUAAAAAGAAAGCAGCUGUCAAUUAUGCUAGCAGCCUGAGGCCACUGAUGUCAAUAUCUCAAGAUGAGCUUUCAGCAGGAAGAAACAUCCAGAAACCAUACAAGUCUUUUGAAAAUUACAAAGGCAAUUCAGGAAAUACUAAGUGGAAUCAAGAUUUUUCAUCUCAAAGACAUGAACAGGCACAAUUUACAUCACAAUUGGAUGCAAACACUUCAUUCACCACUGCCAGUUCAUACAGUUACCAAACAAGUGAUGGAUCAUCCUCAUAUGGACUAAGACCUAAUGAUUCUGCAACAAUGGCUGCACUCAGUAAUUCAUUUGCCCUUCAGACGGGAGGCUUUGCUACUGGAAUCAAUGAAUGGCUGAAGCAAUUCAAUCAAUCUGCUUCUGUAUCCUCCCAGUCCACUUCAGUUGGAAGCACCGCUCCCUACUUCAGAUAUUCAGGGAGUGGGUAUUCAACAGAAUACAAGUCUAAUAGUGCCCAAGGAAACAAAACUACAGCACCUGAUAACAGAAUGGCUUAUGGUGGUGGAGGUACAAAUUGGAAGAGUCAGAGAGCAUUUACAAAUACAAGGAAUUUACCUGACCAGAGAUCAUCCUAUUCUGCUUCCUCUGCUACAUAUCCUUCAUCUGGAGGAUAUUCAACAAACUAUCCUUUACAAGGCUGUUCAUCUUACUACAGGGGUGGGUCUUCAAAUUCCACUUCUUCAUCAAGAGGUGGUUCUAGUUGGUCAGAAGAAUCGAGAUAUCAGAAAUCAGAUUUCAAGACUGAUUCGGCCUCAUUUCAUUCCUCCUCUUCUGUCCACAAUUCAUACAGAGAUUACCAACAACAAAACAGAGAGUCAGAUAAGAUGUUUGAUGAAGAUGCCAGUGGUCUUACUCCCAACAUUCUGCAUAGACUUCAAGGAAAGGAUGUACCUACAAUGACCAGAAUGCUCCAGCAGCUGACUCCAUAUUAUCCAGCACUUCAAAAAAUCAAUAUUGAAACAUUAGUCAAAGCAUUAAUUGAAACUAGAGAAAUAAAUUAAGAUGAUAAAACAGCUGAAUUGGAACUGAUGAACAGAACACUGAAGAAUCUUCACUUCAAGUUUUUAGGAAACAAACUCAACAAUUUAAUUUUGGAUGUGGUUUCUUUUGUUUUGUUUUUGUUUUUUGUGGAAGGGGAUAGGGUUUAUGUUUUUAGUACAGUAAAAAUAUAGUUGGAGCACAAAUUAUUUUCAUGGAGAUGAAUAUGCUGUUCACGUAUUUUUAUGCAUUUGUUAAAUAUUUUUAGUAGAUUGCACUGGAAACUCUUGGUUUUUGAGGGGCUGGUUAAUAUUAAUCACCUUUUUCCAAAAAAGUUUUUGUAUGUUGUAAUCCAUUUAGGAAGAAUAUUCACUGAAAAUAGUUCCAUUGCAUGAAAAAUACAGAAAUGCAUUGCUUCACAUAUAAACCAAUGGCCAGUUCUUCUAAUUUUAGACUUUAUAAUGAGUUAGGAUACUUUUUAGAAGUGACUAUACUGAAUUUCUUUUUGGAACACAUUAAAAUGAUGGUCCCUAAACAAAAUGUUUCUCCUCCUGUGGACUCAAAAUGUGCUCUUAAAUAAGAAAAUGCGAACACUUGUUAGUGGAAAAACUUAACCAAUUUUAUUUUUAAAUUGUAAAAAUGCACACAAAUAUGGAAAUACAACCAGAAUUCUAUUGUAUAGAAUAGCAUUCUGCAUUUUCAAUGUUUAUUUGUAAAAUAAUAAUUAUUAUUAUUAAUAAUAAUAAUUGGGGCAUUUUGCAGUGUUGAUUUUCCAAACAGUAAAACCAGGAUGAAAUUGGGU